UACCUACGGGACGCAGCAGUGAGGAAUAUUGGUCAAUGGGCGCGAGCCUGAACCAGCCAAGUAGCGUGAAGGAUGACUGCCCUAUGGGUUGUAAACCUCUUUUGUCAGGGAGCAACGCCGGCUACGUGUAGCCGGACUGAGAGUACCUGAAGAAAAAGCAUCGGCUAACUCCGUGCCAGCAGCCGCGGUAAUACGGAGGAUGCGAGCGUUAUCCGGAUUUAUUGGGUUUAAAGGGUGCGUAGGCGGAAUGCCAAGUCAGCGGUAAAAUCGCGGGGCUCAACCUCGCUCCGCCGUUGAAACUGGCG
rnacentral:rRNA from 1 species